rnacentral:lncRNA from 1 species
GACAAGCUAGAGUCAUCAGAGAGGAAGGAGCCUCAGCUGAGGAAAUGCCUUCAUGAGAUCCAGCUGUAAGCUCCUGCCUCCAGGUUCCUGCCCUGUUUGGAUUCCUGAUCUGACCUUCUUCAGUGAUGAACAGCAAUAUGGAAGUGCUCAGUGAGCUAUGCAGAAGAGGAGGCGGGAAGAUUGUAAGAGCCAGAGUGAUGGAUGUGUCCAAGGAAAACCAGUUCUUCCAGACAUAACAGACUGGUGCUGUAGGGAGCCGGUUCCUGCAUUAUCCAUUACAAUAAUGGUGCCUGAAGACACCAAGAUGUAAAUUACUUCACAGGCGCUGGAUAAUCUCCAUUCCUUUGAUCUCUGCCUAUCCCGUGGCUCAUUUGGCCUGAGGAGCUGAAGCCAUUCAUAGGAAGGAUCCGAGUGUCCUGCGUGUAUUUCUUGCUGGCGAGAAAAUACAGAGCGCGAGGGACAUAUGGUGCCGAAACCCGGGAACAUGUGAACAUCUCUGGCACCGCGGAGACCCCUCUAACGGGGCGGAUUCAGAACUGCAGGGUGGUAAAUUCGGAGAGGUAUGUUUUUUCUGGACUUUGGCUUGGGAAUGUUGCUAUUGUGGGAGGUUAAUAUAGAGGCUUCUAUGCUUUUACUAGGAGCUAUUUUGACUUUUCUCAC